UGGGAGGAAACAUACCCAGCUUUUGGGAUCUGUCAUUGUGAAGAAUUCAUGAAUGAAAGACUCUUUUAGAAGAAUAAAGAACUCUACAAGGGAAGAAGAAUUGUACCCAUUUUACAGAGCAUGAAACUGGAUGCAGAGGAAUUAUCAGAUGGCUUAUACAGAAAUCUAGUAGGUUGCAUAGUUGGGAUUUCAACCCAGAUUUCAUAAAUAAACUUUCCUCCCUGCUGCUGAUGAAAAUGAGAAAUAAAGGAGCAUGAGCAAGAGAAUCUCUGAAAAACCAGGCCCCGACUCAACAUACCUGUGGGAUGAGCUGCUGCAGUCUGGCCUCUGUCAUGGUCCCAUCAACUGUCACCAUAGAGGGCAUCCCUGGAACACAGAG